GUAUUUGUGCGAGUUAACGCAAGGUACAUUCUGAUACUUCAUUGGGGUAUGUUAAGGGUUGCAUGCGAGCCUCCGAUCUCUCAUCGGCUCGCACACUUGGUUCACAAAGGGGUGGAAUAGAGAAGGGACACGCAUCCAGACGAGCACAUCCCGUUGCCGGGCAGCAUCAGACCGAACACGCAUUCCGAGCUUCGCUAAUGAUCCUUCCGCAGGUUCACCUACGGAAA
rnacentral:misc_RNA from 1 species